UACAGAGGUCUCAAGCGUUGUUCGGAUUCAUUGGGCGUAAAGGGUGCGUAGGUGGCGCGGUAAGUCGGGUGUGAAAUCUCGGAGCUUAACUCCGAAACUGCAUUCGAUACUGCCGUGCUUGAGGACUGGAGAGGAGACUGGAAUUUACGGUGUAGCGGUGAAAUGCGUAGAUAUCGUAAGGAAGACCAGUGGCGAAGGCGGCUCACUGGACCGGUAUUGACGCUGAGGUGCGAAAGCGUGGGGAGCAAACAGG
rnacentral:rRNA from 1 species